AAUCAACGCUGGCGGCGUGCCUCAGACAUGCAAGUCGAACGCGAAAGUUUCCCUCGGGAAGCGAGUAGAGUGGCGCACGGGUGAGUAACACGUAAGUAAUCUACCUCGGGGUGGGGAAUAACAUCGGGAAACCGAUGCUAAUACCGCAUAAUGCAGCGGCUUCCUAUGAAGACAGUUGUUAAAGCAUUUAUGUGCCUGGAGAGGAGCUUGCGGCAGAUUAGCAGUUGGUAAGGUAAUGGCUUACCAAGGCAACGAUCUGUAGCCGACCUGAGAGGGUGGUCGGUCACACUGACACUGAAUAACGGGUCAGACUCCUACGGGAGGCAGCAGUCGGGAAUUUUGGGCAAUGGGCGAAAGCCUGACCCAGCAACGCCGCGUGAAGGAUGAAGUAUUUCGGUAU
rnacentral:rRNA from 1 species